GCUUUUUGCUGACGAGUGGCGAACGGGUGCGUAACGCGUAUGCAACCUACCUUUUUCAGAGGAAUAGCCCAGAGAAAUUUGGAUUAAUACCUCAUAAUAAUAUUUUUUCGCAUGUUAAAAUAUUUAAAGCUUCGGCGGAAAAAGAUGGGCAUGCGUAACAUUAGUUUGUUGGUGAGGUAACGGCUCACCAAGACUACGAUGUUUAGGGGUUCUGAGAGGAUGAUCCCCCACACUGGUACUGAGACACGGACCAGACUCCUACGGGAGGCAGCAGUGAGGAAUAUUGGUCAAUGGACGAAAGUCUGAACCAGCCAUGCCGCGUGAAGGAUGACUGCCCUAUGGGUUGUAAACUUCUUUUGUAUAGGAAGAAACCCCUCUACGUGUAGAGGGCUGACGGUACUAUUCGAAUAAGCACC
rnacentral:rRNA from 1 species